rnacentral:ribozyme from 1 species
GACAGAAAGGAAACAGAAGAUACAUGUCCAAAUGAGGAAGGAAUUACACCUAGAGAAAGCUCUGGAAAUCCAUCUUUCUUUACUUUCAUUUCCUUCUCGUUUCUUGGUUAUUGGUUAAGACGGUGAACGAGUCAAUUAGCGAGUGAAAAGGGAUGACAUAAAGAUGAGAAAAAGAAAGGCAUAGAAUCUUAUCUUAUUUGUAUCUUAUUU